GAUACUGACGUAUAACUACUAAAAGAGCGAAGAGUGAGCUUGAUUCUUGGAAACAAUUUGGUGCAUUAAUUUUCUACAAACUCCCAUCAGAUGUCAUCACAUUCAACACACUGUGCAGAUGGGAAAGACUAUUGAAACAAUUAUUAAAUAUUGGACUUUUAGUCUUCAGCCACAAUAGGAGAGCUGAAAACCAGGACGCUGAGAAGGAACAUAGCAAGUUUCAAGAAACAAAUCAGAAACCUGGAAUGAUUAAUUGUGUGGUCUACAAUGAGUCCUGGUGUGUUUGUCUACGAAUCCCUUUGCUCUGCAGAUCAGACACGCCAGGUGCAGAGAAACACCUGGCUGUGAUGAACCCUCUGAAUUUCUUAGUAACUAAGUCCAAAAAAGGUGAACAGUGGUUUUGUUUACAGGUGAACAGUAGGAAGGGAGUCAGAGCUGGUGAGAAAACUGAUAUGAUAGAAUAAGAACAAAAGCAUCCCUUAACACCCAGCCAACCUGCUGUCACAUCUCUGGCUCUCCUUCCUCUCUUUCUAGACCUACUUGGCAUCAAUGAGGAACAGCAGGCUUUAAGGAAGUCAGAACUUCCAUCUUAUGCAUUCCCACCCACUGAUUCAGCUGACCUGACAGUCACCUUUGAUUCUCCUAAGGAAGUUUCAGCUAAGCAUUAGCAGCGAAGAGCAUAGCAGAUGAGCUCGGGGCUUCCAGGGUCCAAAUCCCACAUUUUACUAUCCAUGUGACACUGCACAAGGUAGCUAGAGUUUCUAUGCUUCUCUAUCUGCCUUACCUGUCAAGGGAGACUCACCUUAGCCUUCUUGUGAUGACUAAAUGGGGCUUGAGUGUCAGGUGCCUGAAAUACCAAAUGGGAGCUACUUGUAUUGUUAUUAACAAGAUGGCCAGGGAGAUUUCCGGUAUUUUUCUUUACAGUGUUAUGGGCACUUUAACAAUGCUGUUUGCAUAUCAACUGAAUACAUCAAUUACACAUAGUGUUGACCCCUCCUUAAAGCCGAUGAGAUACACUAAUCUUUAGUUAGCUAAUUUUGUUGAACUAUAGAGGCAGCACAGCUUGGUAGAAAGAUCUAGAUUCAAAUAUCAACUCUAUUGUUUACUACUUGCAAGCCUUGAAGUUGUUUAUUUUCUUGAUGCCUCAUCUGUGCCUUAAAGAGUGGGAAGGAAAAUACCUCAUUUUCAGGGAGUGUUGUGAGAAUUAAAUGAAAUAAUGCAAAUGCCUAGUACAUAAUAGGUUUCUAUAAUAAACUAUAAUUGACAAGACAGCACGUAUACACCUUACGGUAAUAUAACUGCUCUCCAUUUUCAAUGUUCUCACUAACUCCUAACAGCAUGUCUCCAAAUCAGUUUGAAUUUGUUUUGUUUUGUCGUUUAAUUCUAAGGAAAGCUCGAUGGCACGUGACCACCUCUGAAUGGCC